rnacentral:rRNA from 1 species
GACGUAGGGCGCGAGCGUUGUCCGGAUUUAUUGGGCGUAAAGAGCUCGUAGGCGGCUUGUCGCGUCGACUGUGAAAACCCGAGGCUCAACUUCGGGCUUGCAGUCGAUACGGGCAGGCUAGAGUUCGGUAGGGGAGACUGGAAUUCCUGGUGUAGCGGUGAAAUGCGCAGAUAUCAGGAGGAACACCGGUGGCGAAGGCGGGACUCUGGGCCGAUACUGACGCUGAGGAGCGAAAGCGUGGGGAGCAAACAGG